rnacentral:misc_RNA from 1 species
AAGUCGUAACAAGGUUUCCGUAGGUGAACCUGCGGAAGGAUCAUUAACAAUGAAUAUCUUCAUUAACCCUGUGAACUGUAGGAGAGGGACUAUUGUUUGGUAUUAGGAGUAAUAUUAGGAGUAAUAACCUCAAGGCUUAAUACUCCUUUAGUAUCACUAAUUCCCAUCAAUUCCCUCUCAAACCCCUAAACACUUUAAUUUUAUCAGAGUCAAAUAACUUUUGUUAUAUAGACAACUUUUAGCAACGGAUCUCUAGGUUCUC